rnacentral:rRNA from 1 species
AACGGUGAGAGGAAGACAACAUGGGUGUCGUGGAGAACUAUGUCAAAACUAAAGUUUAUGGGUGGUUUGGGUUUUUGAGAUGUCGAGCUUUUCAAUUUGGCUCUACUUGCCCGUCAAGCUUGGAGGUUAAUGCAGCAACCGGAGUCCCUAAGUGCUCGAGUUCUAAAUGCUCGGUAUUACCCCAAUGUUGAUCUGCUAAAUGCCACAUUGGGAACUGCACCCUCCCAGGUCUGGCGCUCUCUGUUGGAAGGCCGGGAUAUUCUGUCUUUAGGUCUUAUCAAGAGAAUUGGUUCAUGUGCAAUUACAAAUAUUUGGAAGGAGAACUGGCUCUCGAGGGAUUAUAAGUUGAGGCCCAUCUGUGCCCGAUCAGCAAAUCCUCCGAUGAUGGUAUCGGAUCUUAUUAAUCCUGUCACUCGGUCGUGGAACAAGCAAGUCCUUACUGAUCACUUCACUCCUGCUGAUGUUGAGGUUAUUCUUAAUAUACCACUCAGCACCCGGCUACAGGAGGACUUUUGGGCUUGGCAUUACGAUAAGUGUGGUAUCUUUUCUGUAAGGUCAGCAUAUAGGAUGAUUUUGUGCUAUCAAAACACAAAGAGAAGAUUGGCUGGAACACCGGCCAGGCCAUUCCAAUAUUACAGCUGA